UACGUAGGGUGCGAGCGUUAAUCGGAAUUACUGGGCGUAAAGCGUGCGCAGGCGGUGAUGUAAGACCGAUGUGAAAUCCCCGGGCUUAACCUGGGAACUGCAUUGGUGACUGCAUCGCUCGAGUAUGGCAGAGGGGGGUAGAAUUCCGCGUGUAGCAGUGAAAUGCGUAGAGAUGUGGAGGAAUACCGAUGGCGAAGGCAGCCCCCUGGGUCAAUACUGACGCUCAUGCACGAAAGCGUGGGGAGCAAACAGG
rnacentral:rRNA from 1 species